rnacentral:tRNA from 1 species
GCCUCGGUAGUCUAAAGGCUUAGGACGCUCGCACGGAAUGCAAGAGAUCCGGGUUCGACUCCCGGCCGAGGUA